rnacentral:lncRNA from 1 species
AAAAAUUUAAAUAAGAUCAAAUUGAAAAACUUAGCCGUUACUAUUUAAAAAAUAUCAUUUAUUAUUGUGAUACCCAAUUCUUGCCCGGGGCCCAAAACUGUUUACAGCCCACAUUUGGCUGAAUACAAACCAAACACAUGAGGCCCAAUAAAGCCCAAACCAAUAACACUAUACAGCCCGAAUUUUUCAAGGUCACAGAAACCCUAAGAGGCUGAUGGUUUCGGCGCCGCAACUACCCACGUUCAUCAAACCGUUCAUCGAGCCAUGUCUUUGCUCACACGUUCGGCAGUUUCCACAAGGCUCGUUUCCACGUUCGUUCCACCUGCAAAUAAACCACGAAUCACAUCACAACAGGCAAGGGAUAGGAGUUAAUUAAUAGAUAUUAGUUUUGGGUAUAAGAGGCCGAUUGUAAACCGAUUUUGGGGUGAGCAAAAAUUCUGUAAAGAAAAAUUAGAAAGAAAAUACAGAGCAGAAAGAAACAGAAAAACAAAAGUUUUGAAGGUGAAUUUGGAUUUUCGUUUACUCUUUUACUCUUUUCUUAUUUUAUGUUUUCGAGGUUGCUUUUCUUUUUAAUAAAUGAAGUAGCAAAAGGAAAGAGGAAGGAUGUACUUACCAGCAAGGAAGAAAUCUGCUGCCGAAUCGGAGACAGAGGUGCCAGAGGGUGCGGCGGCUUUGGGUGGUGGCUUGGGAUAAAGAAAACCCUAGCAGAGCAUUACUCCCCUGUUCUUUUAUUUUGUUCUAAAGCAGAAAAAAUGAAUUUUAAAAACAAAGGAGAUUUUUUUAUAUACUGAAAUCAAAACGGUGCCGUAUUAGUGACCUGUGCGACCCGACCCAUAAACCCGUUUGAAUCCGUGCAUUUCUUCUAAAGGGACUAUUUGCGCAAUUAGUCCUCAUGUUUUUAUGGUGUUUUUCAAUUUUUUUUAAUUUUUUUAUUUCUUUCAAAUUUUAUUGCACAUUUUAUGUCUGUUUCAAUCUAACCCAUGUUGUUGCGCAGCGUUUUGGAGGGAAUGAAUUAAUUUCCCUUUUGGUCCCAUACUGUUUAUUGUGUGUUCUAUGUAAUCCAUCGGUGUUUUAUUUGUUUCAAAUUUACCCUGAAUUUCUGUUUUAAGUUUAAUUUAGUCCUUUUGAUUAUUUUUCACUAUUAUUGUAUUAUUAAUUAUUGUUAUUAUAAUUAUAAUUAUAUUAUAUAUUAUUACACCUAUAGGUACACGCAUAUAUGUUAAUAUAUGUAUGUAUUUAUAUAUAUUUAAACAUUUUUUAAAAAAAUACAUAUGCAUAUUUUUAUAUAUUUUAUUAUUAUUUUAUUUUCAUAGUUUCUAUAUACAUAUAUGUACACGUACAUAUAUGUAUAUUUUGAUCUUAUUUUAUUAUUUUAUUAUCUUAUCAUACUUUUAAAGAAAAAUAUAUUUUGAUCUUGGUCAAAAUGCUUAAAUCAUCAUUUUUUUAAAAAAAAUUUAAAUAUUUGGUAAUCAUGAUUCUCGAGAAAGAUCAUGUCCUAACUUACUGGAUCGUGAUCAUUUUUCGAUGAAUUUGAAAGCUAAGUAUUUAUUUUACAAUAAAUUCGCAAUUUUCAAAUAAAACCUUAUUCUCGGGAAUUCAAAAUGUCGGGUCCUAACUUACUGGUCGUGACAUUUCGUUAUCUCGAAAUAAGAAUUUCUAAAACAAAAAGAAAUAUUCGGUAUUUUGAAGAUAUAAAAUAUUGUGCCCUAACUUACUGGGUGUGGUGUUUUAUUUCUUUGAAAUGAGAAUGUUUUAUCAUUUUAGAUUCAUUCACGGGUUAAAAAUUUCUAUUUAAAAUCUUUUCAAAUUUUCAACAUCAAGACAUAAAAUAAUCAAAUUUGGUACCGAUUUUUGGGCGUCACGAGGGUGCUAACCCUUCCUCAUGCGUAACUGACUCCCGAACCUGUUUUCUCAAAUUUUACAGACCAGAAUUGUUUUUUUGGUGAGCCGAUCACACUUUAAUAAAGGAUCGGUGGCGACUCCAAUUUUUGUCUUUAAAGUCGAUAACUUAUUUUUGUUUUCAAAAAAAUGGUUUCGACAGCUUGGCGACUCCACUGGGGACUUUCGAGAGUCGAGCCAUAAAUUGAUUAUUUGGUAUCUUUUUGUCGAGAAUUAAAAAAUUUUUUAAACCAUGAUUUCCCUUUUGCAUUCAUUGAUUUUUCAUUGUUAUAUAUUUGCUUGAUUAGCUUAAAGCUGUUAGCUUAUUUGCAUUUUGCAUUUCAUGGUCAAUUUUACCCCUCUAAGUGGGAGUGAGAAGCUAGUCAUUCGUGAGGUUUUCACCUCCGUGCAGGGUAGUGGAUGCUUUCGGGAUACAUCUGUACCUAUGUCUUCGUGAGAUUUUCAUCUCUGUGUAGCCAUAGGGAAAUGUGUCCCCCUGAAAGGAACUCGGUCUAUAUAAGCCUAUAAUGGGUGAGGAUCGAAGAAUCUGUUGGUUUGGGUACCCUUGCUCUAGAAGCUAAAACCUCAUAUAGUGAACCUUAGGAACCUACCCUAGGUAGAAUUACUUUGAGCCUUAGUAGACACCUAAUUAGGAGUUUUUACUAUUUCUUGGUUGUAUUGUAUUUAAUUAUUACUGACUUUUUGUGUUUUACUCUGAUUGCAUGGCAUUACAAUUACAUGGCAUUCCAUUAUAAAGGCGUUGGUUCAUAUUCGGUUGCUAAACAGAAAGCUUACCAUGGGAAAUGGGUUUCUUGAUAGAGUGGAGGACAAUACAGCUGUCCAAACUUGGGCUGAGAUGACACAGCACGAAAAAGGUGAUAGUUUGGCCGAGGGGUACGUAUCAGAAUUAUGGGACUUCACCCGUGUCAGCGUAGCUCAAAAUAACUUGCAGGAGUUGAAGGAGAUUUGGGAUCAGUGGAAUAAUGAGGUUAGGCAAUUAUUCUAUUCAAAUUAUAGGGAUUUACCUUAUUUACUUGAUAUGAAGGUAGACAAUCGUCUUUUUCGAGCUCUUGCCCAGUUUUGGAACCCGGCCUACAGUUGCUUCAUAUUUGGAAAGGUUGAUUUGGUGCCUACAAUAGAAGAGUACGUGGCAUUACUUCGGUGUUCGAGGAUUCAAGUAGACAGAAUCUAUUCGAAAGCGGUAAAUGUGCCAACCUUCUUGAGGAAGUUGAUGAAUAUAAUAGGGAUGAGCGAGCAAUGGGUUACAGCUCGGAUUAAGUAAAAGGGGGAUAGCAGAUACAUUCCUUAGAAAAUUUUGAAGGACCUCAUUUUAGCACACCCAGAUGCGAGGAAGAAGGUAGAUAUCUUUGCUUUAAGUAUAUAUGGUUUGGUUGUCUUCCCUAAGACUUUGGGGCAUGUUGACGAAGCGAUCACUGACUUAUUCAAUCAGCUUGAUAAGAGAGUUUCACCGGUCUCAGUAAUUUUGGCAGAAACUUUCAGGUCACUGAAUGCAUGCCGAAGAGCGGGAGAGGGUAGGUUUAUUGGAUGUGCACAGCUUCUACUUGCUUGGUUCCACAGUCACUUUUGGAAGGAGGAUAAGGUUUCAUAUCGGGUCUUCUCUGAAAGCUAUUCACCAUUGAAAGAGGUAGUGGCUACUCCUAGGAGAGAUGACAUCUCGGAGGAGAAAUGGAUGACAAUUUUUCAGAAUUUACAAGAGGAGGAUAUUGAGUGGAAAGCUCCAUGGUUGCUUCCAGAUGAGGUCUUAUAUCGGUGUGGGGAUUUCGACUGGGUUCCUUUGCUUGGAAUUUGGGGAGCUGUUGGUUAUGCCCCAUUGUUAGUGUUAAGGCAAUACAGGUCAAGACAGUUUGUGCCUGCAACUCAUGGACUGGCCGAGUGUGAAUUCUCGUAUAAAGAUGAUGGUUACAAAAAGAAAGCUCGUGAUAUGGCCAAUGCGUGGAAUCAAACUCGCCGAAUGAAGAGGUUAGCUGUGGGUCCAAUGACAACUCUCGAGUACAACGAAUGGUGGGUUAAGAGGAUCAACGAUAACAUUCUUGGGCCGAGUCUGGAAAAUAGUCAGUCGAUAGAGGAGCAUUUGUGUGUCGUCCCUACUAAGCUGGAGAUCAUAAAACAAGACUUUGAAAAGAAGAAUGCCGAAUUAGAGAAGAAAAUAGAGUAAAUGGAGGAAGAGAAAGUGAAUUUGAGACUGGAUGUAGAUGUUCAAAAGCUCGAGGCUGAUAAACUGAGAAAGGGGAAGAACAAGGCUGAGGAGGAGCUAGAUAGCUUAAAGACAGAUUACAAGAAAUUGCGUCUGUCAAUAAGAACUGCAGGGCUUGGAAAGAUUUCAGAGCAGUGGCGUGAAGAAAUUUGAGAGGAAAGAAACAGGUCAGAUUGGUGGGAAAAGAAAUUUCGAGAGGUACAAGCACGAAAUGAAGCAUUAGAAAGAAGCUUGUCGGAGAGCCAAAAGGAAAAGGGAGAACUAAAAGACAGAGUAGCUGAGUUAGAAGGGUCUCUUAGUCAACAUAGAAGUCGAAAUUCUGUGUUAGACCUGAAGGCAAGUCUGAGCAAGAUCGAAGAGAUGAAGGGUAAAAUAGAAGAGUUAGAAGCAACAUUGCGAAGUUGUGAGGUUCGAAUUGAGUAGCUAGAGGUAAAGGAAGGUCGUCAAAAUGAGCAACUUCAUUAUUUCCAGGAUCAAGUCAGAAAUAGGGAUCGCAUUAUGGGAGAAGAUGUGGUGCAGAUUCGUGAAGUGGUAGAUCACUUGCAAACUUUAGCUGUACAAGCUGACACGUUGAGCGUAAAGUUCGAGCUAGAGUCAGAUCGAGGACAAGAGUUAACAUCGUUGCUUAAAAAGAUCAAGGUCUUAAGUAUUAGGGCAAAGCCAUAUUUGUAGCACAUUCUAUGUAAAGAGAUUUAUUUUCUAAUAAAGUUUUCUGAAAGUAAUUGAAAUUAGAAUUAACGCCUUUUCUACAUUGCAUUUUCAUACAUCGCAUUGCAUGCAUUAGCAAAUUAUCAAAGGGUUCUAAUUAAUCAAAAUCAUUCCUCAAUUAACCUGGAAUCUAGCCAGCCAACUCAGCCCCGUUACAGUACACGAGCGAAAUCAAGAAAUAUGGACCAAAGGUUGGAAAAGCUCGAAGGGUUCCAAAAAGAAAUGCAAGAUCAGCUUCAGCAGUAAAUGAAGGAACAACUCGAGAAGAUUCAACAAAGUCUGAUGGAUAAAAUGGAGGAAUCACAAGGAAGUAUGAUGAUAAAGUUAACGCGAUUGUUGACCGAAGGGAAAGAUAAGGGAAAGAACCCUGUAACAAAUAUGGAAGAUGAGGGCGAGGAUGGACUCCAGUAUCCUCCAGGCUUCACUCCUCUACAUGUGCAGCACCAAGCGGAAGUGUACCCGCGUAAAUUUUCUGUUAUGAUUAGGCCGCAGUAAUUUCAAGCCGAUGCUUUGAGAUCGAUAAAUUUUCAGGCCGGAUCAGGCUCCAGUCCUGAGAAUAAUCUUGCCAAUCCUAUUGUUCCUGAUUUCGAAGAAGCAGUUGAAAAAGAGAAAACAAAAGAAGAAUUACCAAAGUAAUUGGAAAAAAGAUAGAAGCGGAUUGAGGAGAAAUUCAAAGCGAUGGAAACUACUGAAAGAUGCCAUGGGAUUGAUGCUAAGGAUUUAAGUUUGGUACCGGAUUUAGUACUUCCGUACAAAUUUAAGAUGCCGAAUUUCGAGAAGUAUAAUGGGACCACUUGCCCUGAAGCCCACAUUACUAUAUUUUGUAGGCGAAUGACAGAGUAUGUCAAUAAUGACCAGUUAUUGAUACACUGUUUUCAGGAUAGCCUCACGGGAGCUGCAUCAAAGUGGUAUAAUCAAUUAAGCCGUGCUAAGAUUAGUUCUUGGAGGGAUUUAGCACAGGUUUUUAUGAAGCAGUACGGUCAUGUGGCAGAAAUGGUUCCUGAUAGGAUUACUUUACAGAACAUGGAGAAAAAGUCGAAUGAAGAUUUUAGACAAUACGCUCAGAGGUGGAGGGAGGUAGUAGUACAGGUCCAGCCACCGCUUUUUGAGAGAGAAAUGACGAUGCUUUUUGUAAAUACGAUAAAGGCCCCUUUCAUCACACACAUGCUAGGCAGUGCCACGAAAAAUUUUACUGAUAUAGUCAUGAGUGGUGAGAUGAUUGAAAGUACUGUAAAGAGCGAGAAGAUUGAUGUUGGAGAUAACAACAGAAGACAAAAUUCAAAGAAAAAGAAGGUGAGAUAAACAACGUGAAUACACAUAGCAAAUCGAUUACGGUGAAUCAGCCCAGAAAGGUAGUGUCUGGUCAACAGGGUUCAUCAAAGUAGGAAUCUGGUACAAGGCCAAGUAAUGAGAGGCCUCAGUUUACACCCAUUCCUAUGUUGUACAAAGAGUUGUAUCAGAAUUUAUUUAACGCGCACGUUGUUGCCCUAUUUUAUUUGACCCCUUUACAGCCUCCAUAUCCUAAAUGGUAUGACGCAAAUGCAAAAUGCGAUUACCAUGCAGGAGUUACGGGGCACUCCAUAGAGCAUUGUACUGCUUUUAAAAAGCUUGUUGAGAAGCUCAUUCAGAUGGGCGUUGUCAAGAUAGAUGAUUCAUCAGGUACGGAAAAUCCAUUACCCAAACAUACUGAUGCAGGGGUAAACAUAGUAGGUGAAGGUAUGGGGAAGAAGGUCAAGGAGAAUAUUACUGAGGUAAGGAUCCCUUUGAGAAGGGUUUGGAAGGAAAUGGUAAGAAGAGGGUUGAUUGUUUCGGAUGUGGUGGAGAGUGACGAGACCCAAAAUUAUUGUGAGUUCCAUCAUGAGGUGAGACAUGAAAUUCAGGUGUGUGAGAAGUUCAGAGCUCUGGUCCAGAGCAUGAUGGAUGUUGGAGAAAUGGAGUUUUUUGAAGAGGAAGAAAGAAAAGGAAGUAUAUGCGUAUCGGAGUCAGAAGCGAGGAUUCCGAAGAUUAUCAUCUCGCACUCUAGGGUUACUGAAGUCAAGACACAGGUGACACCGAAGAUUGUUAUUCAAAAGCCGACGAAGUUUUUGUAUAAGGAUAGCAAGAAGGUUCCUUGGAAUUAUGAAUGCGAGAUAACAAUUUCGGGGAAGGAAGCUUCAAUUAGUGUUGCGAAAGAAAACCAAAAGACAGGUAUUCGUGUGAAUACUGAGAAGCAUGGUAGUGGGAUAAAUUCUCAGGCAGAAUCAGUAGAGGGAAAAGUCUUUGCAGCAGAGAAAAAGGAAGAGAAGAAGGUUGAAUUAAGGUCAUUGAUUAAUGAGCCAAUAAAAGAAGAAGAAGCCACUGAAUUCUUGAAAUUUUUAAAACACAGUGAGUAUAGUGUUGUAGAACAGCUGCAUAAACAGCCAGCUCGUAUAUCGGUGUUGGCCUUGCUCAAGAAUUCAGAGGUGCAUCGAAAUGCGCUGAUGAAGGCGUUAAAUGAAGCCUACGUGGCAAGUGAUAUUUCUGUCAACCAAUUGGAUCGGUUGAUCAACAAUAUAAGUGCUGAUAAUUUUAUCUUCUUCAAUGAUGACGAAAUAUCAUCUGGAGGUAUGGGAUCCACUAAAGCUCUGCACAUUACUGCUCGGUGUAAAGGAAGCCUGGUGUCGGGAGUUUUAAUUGAUAAUGGGUCUGCAUUGAAUGUACUGCCCUUAUCUACUCUCAAUAGGCUACCUGUGGAUAUCUCACAUAUGAAAAUAUGUCAAAACGUAGUAAGAGCGUUCGAUGGGAUGAAAAGGAAGGUUUUAGGGAGGAUUGAGAUACCGUUGCUGAUAGGCUCGAAUACUUAUGAAGUAGAUUUCAUUGUAAUGGAUAUUAAGCCUUCAUAUAACUGUUUAUUAGGCAGACCUUGGAUACAUUCGGCGGGGGCCGUGCCUUCAACGUUGCAUCAGAAGUUAAAAUUGGUGACAGAAGGACGGUUAGUGACAAUAAAUACCGAGGAAAGUAUUAUUGCGUCAGUGACCAGCAAUGCACCAUAUGUGGAGACGGACGAAGAGGCGGUGGAAUGUUCUUUCCGGACUUUAGAGUUUAUUAAUACAACAUUUAUUGCUGAGGGGAAUAGAAUUCCAGUACCGAAGAUAUCCAAGACUACAAAAAUGGGCCUUCAAUUAAUGGUGGGAAGAGGAGCUGUACCCGGAAAAAGAUUGGGAAGAGAUUUGCAAGGAAGAGUUGAAGCACCAGUGAUGAAAGAAAAGUUUGAUCGCUUUGGUCUGGGCUAUAGACCAGGUAUAAAACAAAGAAGAAAAGAAAUGGAGAGAAGACAGGAGAGAAGAAGGGCACGCCUGAGUGGAAAUGAAGUUAGGUGGGAGCCUUUGGUUUUUCCUCACAUAUCCAAGACCUUCGUAUGAGGAGGGUUUAUUCAUCCAGAACAAAGAGUGCUUGAGGUGGAAGGUGUUGAAGAGAUAUUGGGAGAUGUUCACAUCAAUGCCCUAGACACAGUUGAAAGAGAGACUUGGCUAGAGAUUCGCCCUUACGAGCCUGGAAGUGAUCUGGACAAUUGGACUGCAGAAGAGAUUCCUGUAAUUUUUAGAGCUUGUUCAGAGUAAAUAUGCAGAACAUCCUUGUCGAUUUGACUUAAAAUAUAAUUUCUAUAUGAAUUAGGCACAUCUUGGACAUUAUAAUAAAUAUACUUUUUCGUAUGCAUUUUUGAGCUAGUAUUCUUUUAUUUUUCCUUCGAGUAAUUAUUCUUUUUUCUUUUUCUUUCUUUUUUCUUCUUUUUUUACAUCAUUCUUUUAUUCAUUUCAUAAUCAUAUUUUCUUCAUAAAUUCAUAUAUUCUUUGUAUAUUCUUUGGCACCUAUCAUAGGUUCCCAGAUAUCAAUAAUUUGAAUGACGCUGCUUCAGACUCAGAAUCACCUUUCGAACGAGACCGGUGUUUAGAAGGAUCACAGAAUUUUAAAGAUGACAUAGACUGUGAUGUAUCUCCAGACUUAUUGAGAAUGGUAGAAGAGGAGGAUAAGCAAAUCUUACCUCAUAAAGAAUCACUGGAGAUUGUGAGUCUAGAGGAGGGAAAAGAAGUAAAGAUCGAAACUGACAUUUCUGCUAAGACAAGGCAGGACCUCAUUGAGUUACUCUGGGAAUUCAAAGAUGUCUUUGCAUGGUCAUAUCAAGAUAUGCCCGGGUUGAGCACUGAUAUUGUGGUGCAUCGUCUUCCCAUAAAAGAGGAUUACAAGUCGGUUCAGCAGAAGCUCAGAAGAAUGAGGCCUGACAUUGUGCUAAAGAUAAAAGAAGAAGUCAAGAAGCAGUUUGAUGCUGGGUUCUUGCAAGAAGUUAAGUAUUCAGAAUGGGUAGCUAAUGUUGUCCCUGUCCCUAAGAAAGAUGGGAAAGUGCGAAUGUGUGUGGAUUAUAGGGAUUUGAACAGAGCCAGUCCAAAAGAUAAUUUUCUGUUGCCUCACAUUGAUACUUUGGUAGAUAAUACUGCAGGCUAUUCAUUGUUUUCUUUCAUGGACGGUUUUUCUGGAUACAAUCAAAUAAAGAUGCAUCCAGAAGAUAUAAGAAAGACCACAUUUAUCACUUUGUGGGGAGCGUUCUGUUAUAAAGUGAUGCCUUUUGGAUUAAAGAAUGCGGGGGCAACUUAUCAAAUAGCUAUGGUAACUUUGUUUCAUGAGAUGAUGCACAGAGAGAUUGAGGUUUAUGUUGACGAUAUGAUUGCAAAAUCUAGAACGGAAGAGGAGCAUGUUCAAGUGCUGCGAAAAUUUUUUUUGAGAUUAAGAAAUUUCCAGCUCAAGCUUAAUCCAACAAAGUGCACUUUUAGAGCUAGAUCGGGGAAGUUGUUGGGCUUCAUAGCUAGUGGGAAAGGAAUUGAAGUUGAUCCAGACAAAGUCAGAGCAAUACGUGAUUUGCCUCCACCACACACACAGAAGGAAGUACGGGGUUUUUUGGGAAGAUUGAACUACAUUUCUCGGUUUAUUUCACAAUUAAUUGAGAAAUGUGAUCCCCUAUUUCGUCUCCUAAAAAAACAUAAUCCGGGCGUAUGGGAUGAAGAAUGCCGGAAUACUUUUGACAAAAUAAAACAAUAUUUGUCUAAUCCUCUAGUGCUAUCACCACCUAAUCCGGAUAGGCCAUUAAUACUGUAUCUAACAGUAUUUGACAAUUCCAUGGGGUGCGUGUUAGGCCAACAAGAUGAGACAGGGAGAAAAGAAAGGGCAAUAUACUAUCUCAGUAAGAAAUUCACUAAUUAUGAAGUGAGAUAUUCAGCUAUUGAGAAGUUGUGUUGUGCUUUGGUUUGGACAACUCGAAGAUUACGACAAUAUAUGUUGUAUCACACGACAUUGCUAAUUUCAAAGUUAGACCCCUUAAAGUAUAUGAUGGAGUCGACUACUUUGAAUGGAAGGAUGACCAGAUGGCAGAUCUUGCUUUCUGAAUUUAACAUAGUGUAUGUGAGUCAGAAGGCUGUGAAAGGGAGCACAAUAGCUGACUUUUUAACUAGUAGAGCCUUGGUGGAUUAUGAGCCUUUAAAUUUUGAUUUCCCAAAUGAGGAUUUGAUGUAUGUGACAACCGCAGAAGAAAAUCUCCAAAUGGAUCAGGUGUGGAAGUUAAAUUUUGAUGGAGCCUCAAAUGCUGUGGGUAAUGGAAUUGGGGCAGUCCUAAUAUCUCCAAGCGGAGAUCAUUAUCCUUUUGCUAGCAAGCUGAAUUUUGAUUGCACAAAUAAUAUGGUAGAGUAUGAAGCGUGCAUUAUGGGCAUUCGUGCAGCCAUCGAGCGUAAAAUCAAAGUGUUAGAAGUGUAUGGGGAUUCUGCACUAGUGAUAUAUCAACUCAAGGGAGAAUGGGAAACAAGGGACUCUAAACUGAUCAACUAUCGAAAGAUGGUUCUCGAAUUGAUGGACGAAUUCGAUGACAUUACUUUUUGUUAUCUUCCACGAGAUGAGAAUCAGAUGGCUGAUGCGUUGGCUACCUUAGCCUCCAUGAUCCGAGUGAAUAGGUUAGAGGACAUGAAGCUAUCCAGAUGAGUAUUUUUGAAACCCCGGCUCAUUGCUAUAAUGUUGAGGAAGAGGGAAAGGAUGAUCAUCCCUGGUAUUUGAAUAUAUUCCGAUAUGUAAAGAAUCGUGAGUAUCUAGAUUAGGCAAUGGAGAAUGAUAAAAGAGCACUGAGAAGAUUGGCUAUUGACUAUGUUCUAGAUGGAGAAAUCCUGUAUAGAAAAGGGAAGGAUCAAGUAUUGUUAAGAUGUGUGGAUGUAGUAGAAGUUAGAAAAAUUCUAGAAGAAAUCCAUUAAGGUAUCUGUGGCACACAUGCAAAUGGUUUCACAAUGGCUAGGUAGAUCAUGAGAUUUGGGUAUUAUUGGUCUACUUUGGAAAGGGAUUGCAUCAGCUAUGCUAAGAAGUGGCAUAAAUGCCAAAUUUAUAGUGAUAAAAUGCAUGCACCUCCUUCACCUUUUCAUGUUAUGACUUCUCCAUGGCCUUUCUCUAUGUGGGGUAUGGACGUCAUUGGGCCAAUAUCGCCCAAAGCUUCUAACGGGCAUCGCUUUAUCAUUGUGGUUAUUGACUACUUUACCAAAUGGGUGGAGGCGACUUCAUAUGCAAAUGUUACGAAGUCAGCAGUUAGCAAAUUCUUGAAAAAAGAAAUCAUAUGUCGAUAUGGAAUGCCUGAGAGGAUCAUAUCUGAUAAUGCACUGAAUUUGAACAAUAGUGUAAUAGCGGAGGUCUGCAGUCAAUUCGGGAUCAGACAUCAUAACUCGUCGCCAUACCGCCCAAAGAUGAAUGGUGCAGUAGAAGCAGCUAAUAAGAAUAUCAAAAAAAUUGUGGGAAAGAUGACCGAGACUUACAGGGAUUGGCAUGAGAAAUUACCAUUUGCUCUUUUUGCUUAUAGAACGUCUGUCAGGACGUCGACUGGGGCAACACCUUUCUCUUUGGUUUAUGGCAUGGAAGCCGUUUUACCUAUUGAGAUAGAAAUUCCUUCUCUCCGAGUAUUAUUUGAGUUGAAAUUGGAUGAGGCAGAAUGGAUUCAAUCUCGUUAUGAUCAAUUAAACUUAAUUGAAGGGAAAAUGCUAAAAGCUGUUCGGCAUGGUCAAAUGUAUCAAAAACGGAUGAUGCGGGCCUACAAUAAAAAAGUUUGUCCUAGAGAAUUUAAUGAGGGGGAGUUGAUGUUGAAAAGAGUCCUUCCUAUACAAAAGGAUUUCGGAGGGAAAUGGAUGCCAAAUUGGGAAAGUCCAUAUGUUGUAAAGAAAGCUUUUUCAGGGGGAGCUUUGAUUUUGAGUGAGAUGGAUGGCAAAGACUUGCCAAACCCUGUAAACUUGGAUUCAGUUAAGAAAUACUUUUCUUAAAAAAAAAGGGAAAAGGAGAGGCCAAUGUAAAAACCCGUAAAGGGCACUUUGAGACCAAAGGGGAUUUGAGUUGAAAACCCAAAAAAAGGCGGCUCAAAUGCUGAUCAGGUGACGCAUUCGGUGAUCUUGCAAUGAUUGAACCAAUAGGAAAGGGGACGCAACAUCUUGGGGCAUCGACAGAGUACUGUAGAUCUUCUAAGCACAUGUCGGAUUCAGAGUGGUCUUCAAGAAGUCUGUGCAGAGAAGUUCAAACUGUGAUAUCUGGGACACCUAGUCUUAAUAUUAUUUAUAUUGAAUUGCUUAUUCUUGGAAUACUUUAUUCUUUUCCAAGAUACGAGUCAAUUCCUCUUUUAUUCUCAAUAUUAUUGAUAAUUUAUUUAUUUUGAGCUAUGCUCUCAAUUCAAUUCUAUCUAUUCAUUUUUUUUCUUUCUUUUGGCAAAGCAUGUUGCAUUAGAAUAACGAUUAAUAAACUAAUAAAACUUUUACAAAGGAUUUUGCUUAUUACUUUGGAGGUUUCUAAAUAAUAUGAGAACCUGAAACAGGACUAUUGUUCAGAAUACACCUGGUUUAAAUGUGGGAAAUCUGAGAGGGAAGAGUCUAAAUUAAGACUAUCUCUUUGGAUUUUGUUGUCAAAAGCAUUGAUUAAAUAAAAUGACAAGAUGUCGUGUUGGUGACAAAGCGUCAAUGAACAAUCAAGCAAUGAUCACCUUGCAAUAAGAGGAUGUUUUCUCGGAGAAGAAAAUCUUUCAUUUGUGCAUAGGCAUUUGGUAUGACACCUUGAGAAUGGUACAGAGGUCUAAAGUGCUUCACAUUGCGAUAAGAGAAGAUCGAGAAGUCAUGUUUUUCUACCCUUGGGUUACAGUGAAAAGAUGAUACAAAUUUUGUGUCUCAGUGGAUUAAACUUUAAAGUUUACAGUAGGGGGCAAUCUGAUUAAGUUUUUCUUUGGAGAUGCCAGCCAAGUAAGAAGGCGUUGUAGCACGUCGGUGAUAAAGUCUUAGUAAACUUUGAGUAAUGACAACCUAAGCGGGGUCAUUCUCUAAAAAUAAUAUUUUACAUUCAUUCAUACACGUCUAGUUAGGAGCAUUUGAUUUAUUCUAAUCAUGACAUCCUAAUCAUUAGGCAUAAUUAGGUUCAUAAAUUGAAUUAUACAGGUCAUGUUCCCCAGAGAACAAACCGGUGAAACUUCAGUCUUAUCUCCCUGAAGUUGCAGUGAAGCAGACAGAAGAAAUCAAUUCUAUCUCCUUGAAGUUGCAGUGGAGCGGAUUAACAUCCAGAUCUUAUCUUUCUGAGGUUGCAGAGAGCAGAUCGCAUCCAGUCUUAUCUCCCUGAAGUUGCAUGGAGCAGACAGAAGAAAUCAAUCCUAUCUCCCUGAAGUUGCAGUGGAGCGGAUUAACAUCCAGAUCUUAUCUUUCUGAGGUUGCAGAGAGCAGAUCGCAUCCAGUCUUAUCUCCCUGAAGUUGCAGUGGAGCAGACAGAAGAAAUCAAUCUUAUCUCCCUGAAGUUACAGUGGAGCAGAUUAACAUCAAGAUCUUAUCUUUCUGAGGUUGCAGAGAGCAGAUCGUAUCCAGUCUUAUCUCCCUGAAGUUGCAGUGGAGCAGACAGAAGAAAUCAAUUCUAUCUCCUUGAAGUUGCAGUGGAGCGGAUUAACAUCCAGAUCUUAUCUUUCUGAGGUUGCAGAGAGCAGAUCGCAUCCAGUCUUAUCUCCCUGAAGUUGCAGUGGAGCAGACAGAAGAAAUCAAUCCUAUCUCAUUGAAGUUGCAGUGGAGCGGAUUAACAUCCAGAUCUUAUCUUUCUGAGGUUGCAGAGAGCAGAUCGCAUCCAGUCUUAUCUCCUUGAAGUUGCAGUGGAGCAGACAGAAGAAAUCAAUCCUAUCUCCCUGAAGUUGCAAUGGAGCGGAUUUACAUCCAGAUCUUAUCUUUCUGAGAUUGCAGAGAGCAGAUCGCAUCCAGUCUUAUCUCCCUGAAGUUGCAGUGGAGCAGACUAAAAAUAGCAAUUUUUGUUCUUUUGAGAAGCUACAAGGUACAAGUCCUACCUCCUUGAUGUUGCAGUGGAGUGGAUUGAAGCACCGAUUCCUAUACCUUUGAAGACGCAGUAGGUUGGAAUGAGGCUACUUGAAGAGCGCCAAGGUCCAGCAUGACCGGGCAAAAUUGGGCUUUAGACUCUUUGCUCUGUUCCCGUUACACGACAACGAGCAAAGAGGGGCAGCUGUGAUACCCAAUUCUUGUCCGGGGCCCAAAACUGUUUACAGCCUACAUUUGGCUGAAUACAAACCAAUCACAUGAGGCCCAAUAAAGCCCAAACCAAUAACACUAUACAGCCCGAAUUUUUCAAGGUCACAGAAACCCUAAGAGGCUGAUGGUUUCGGCGCCGCAACUACCCACGUUCAUCAAACCGUUCAUCGAGCCAUGUCUUUGCUCACACGUUCGGCAGUUUCCACAAGGCCCGUUUCCACGUUCG